rnacentral:rRNA from 1 species
GGGUUGUGAGGUUAAGCGACUAAGCGUACACGGUGGAUGCCCUGGCAGUCAGAGGCGAUGAAGGACGUGCUAAUCUGCGAUAAGCGUCGGUAAGGUGAUAUGAACCGUUAUAACCGGCGAUUUCCGAAUGGGGAAACCCAGUGUGUUUCGACACACUAUCAUUAACUGAAUCCAUAGGUUAAUGAGGCGAACCGGGGGAACUGAAACAUCUAAGUACCCCGAGGAAAAGAAAUCAACCGAGAUUCCCCCAGUAGCGGCGAGCGAACGGGGAGGAGCCCAGAGCCUGAAUCAGUGUGUGUGUUAGUGGAAGCGUCUGGAAAGGCGCGCGAUACAGGGUGACAGCCCCGUACACAAAAAUGCACAUGCUGUGAGCUCGAUGAGUAGGGCGGGACACGUGGUAUCCUGUCUGAAUAUGGGGGGACCAUCCUCCAAGGCUAAAUACUCCUGACUGACCGAUAGUGAACCAGUACCGUGAGGGAAAGGCGAAAAGAACCCCGGCGAGGGGAGUGAAAAAGAACCUGAAACCGUGUACGUACAAGCAGUGGGAGCCUCUUUAUGGGGUGACUGCGUACCUUUUGUAUAAUGGGUCAGCGACUUAUAUUCUGUAGCAAGGUUAACCGAAUAGGGGAGCCGAAGGGAAACCGAGUCUUAACUGGGCGUUAAGUUGCAGGGUAUAGACCCGAAACCCGGUGAUCUAGCCAUGGGCAGGUUGAAGGUUGGGUAACACUAACUGGAGGACCGAACCGACUAAUGUUGAAAAAUUAGCGGAUGACUUGUGGCUGGGGGUGAAAGGCCAAUCAAACCGGGAGAUAGCUGGUUCUCCCCGAAAGCUAUUUAGGUAGCGCCUCGUGAAUUCAUCUCCGGGGGUAGAGCACUGUUUCGGCAAGGGGGUCAUCCCGACUUACCAACCCGAUGCAAACUGCGAAUACCGGAGAAUGUUAUCACGGGAGACACACGGCGGGUGCUAACGUCCGUCGUGAAGAGGGAAACAACCCAGACCGCCAGCUAAGGUCCCAAAGUCAUGGUUAAGUGGGAAACGAUGUGGGAAGGCCCAGACAGCCAGGAUGUUGGCUUAGAAGCAGCCAUCAUUUAAAGAAAGCGUAAUAGCUCACUGGUCGAGUCGGCCUGCGCGGAAGAUGUAACGGGGCUAAACCAUGCACCGAAGCUGCGGCAGCGACGCUUAUGCGUUGUUGGGUAGGGGAGCGUUCUGUAAGCCUGUGAAGGUGUGCUGUGAGGCAUGCUGGAGGUAUCAGAAGUGCGAAUGCUGACAUAAGUAACGAUAAAGCGGGUGAAAAGCCCGCUCGCCGGAAGACCAAGGGUUCCUGUCCAACGUUAAUCGGGGCAGGGUGAGUCGACCCCUAAGGCGAGGCCGAAAGGCGUAGUCGAUGGGAAACAGGUUAAUAUUCCUGUACUUGGUGUUACUGCGAAGGGGGGACGGAGAAGGCUAUGUUGGCCGGGCGACGGUUGUCCCGGUUUAAGCGUGUAGGCUGGUUUUCCAGGCAAAUCCGGAAAAUCAAGGCUGAGGCGUGAUGACGAGGCACUACGGUGCUGAAGCAACAAAUGCCCUGCUUCCAGGAAAAGCCUCUAAGCAUCAGGUAACAUCAAAUCGUACCCCAAACCGACACAGGUGGUCAGGUAGAGAAUACCAAGGCGCUUGAGAGAACUCGGGUGAAGGAACUAGGCAAAAUGGUGCCGUAACUUCGGGAGAAGGCACGCUGAUAUGUAGGUGAAGUCCCUCGCGGAUGGAGCUGAAAUCAGUCGAAGAUACCAGCUGGCUGCAACUGUUUAUUAAAAACACAGCACUGUGCAAACACGAAAGUGGACGUAUACGGUGUGACGCCUGCCCGGUGCCGGAAGGUUAAUUGAUGGGGUCAGCGCAAGCGAAGCUCUUGAUCGAAGCCCCGGUAAACGGCGGCCGUAACUAUAACGGUCCUAAGGUAGCGAAAUUCCUUGUCGGGUAAGUUCCGACCUGCACGAAUGGCGUAAUGAUGGCCAGGCUGUCUCCACCCGAGACUCAGUGAAAUUGAACUCGCUGUGAAGAUGCAGUGUACCCGCGGCAAGACGGAAAGACCCCGUGAACCUUUACUAUAGCUUGACACUGAACAUUGAGCCUUGAUGUGUAGGAUAGGUGGGAGGCUUAGAAGUGUGGACGCCAGUCUGCAUGGAGCCGACCUUGAAAUACCACCCUUUAAUGUUUGAUGUUCUAACGUUGACCCGUAAUCCGGGUUGCGGACAGUGUCUGGUGGGUAGUUUGACUGGGGCGGUCUCCUCCUAAAGAGUAACGGAGGAGCACGAAGGUUGGCUAAUCCUGGUCGGACAUCAGGAGGUUAGUGCAAUGGCAUAAGCCAGCUUGACUGCGAGCGUGACGGCGCGAGCAGGUGCGAAAGCAGGUCAUAGUGAUCCGGUGGUUCUGAAUGGAAGGGCCAUCGCUCAACGGAUAAAAGGUACUCCGGGGAUAACAGGCUGAUACCGCCCAAGAGUUCAUAUCGACGGCGGUGUUUGGCACCUCGAUGUCGGCUCAUCACAUCCUGGGGCUGAAGUAGGUCCCAAGGGUAUGGCUGUUCGCCAUUUAAAGUGGUACGCGAGCUGGGUUUAGAACGUCGUGAGACAGUUCGGUCCCUAUCUGCCGUGGGCGCUGGAGAACUGAGGGGGGCUGCUCCUAGUACGAGAGGACCGGAGUGGACGCAUCACUGGUGUUCGGGUUGUCAUGCCAAUGGCACUGCCCGGUAGCUAAAUGCGGAAGAGAUAAGUGCUGAAAGCAUCUAAGCACGAAACUUGCCCCGAGAUGAGUUCUCCCUGACCCUUUAAGGGUCCUGAAGGAACGUUGAAGACGACGACGUUGAUAGGCCGGGUGUGUAAGCGCAGCGAUGCGUUGAGCUAACCGGUACUAAUGAACCGUGAGGCUUAACCUUACAACGCCGAAGCUGUU